rnacentral:rRNA from 1 species
GACCUGAGAGGGUGAUCGGCCACACUGGGACUGAGACACGGCCCAGACUCCUACGGGAGGCAGCAGUGGGGAAUAUUGCACAAUGGGCGGAAGCCUGAUGCAGCAACGCCGCGUGCGGGAUGACGGCCUUCGGGUUGUAAACCGCUUUCGCCUGUGACGAAGCGUGAGUGACGGUAAUGGGUAAAGAAGCACCGGCUAACUACGUGCCAGCAGCCGCGGUAAUACGUAGGGUGCGAGCGUUAAUCGGAAUUACUGGGCGUAAAG